rnacentral:rRNA from 1 species
ACAGAGACUGCAAGCGUUAUUCGGAUUCACUGGGCGUAAAGGGUGCGCAGGCGGCCGGGUGUGUCAGAUGUGAAAUCCCGAGGCUUAACCUCGGAACUGCGUCUGAAACUACUCGGCUAGAGUAUUGGAGAGGGUAGCGGAAUUCACGGUGUAGCAGUGAAAUGCGUAGAUAUCCGGAGGAACACCGGUGGCGAAGGCGGCUUCCUGGACCGACACUGACGCUGAGGCGCGAAAGCUAGGGGAGCAAACGGGA